rnacentral:rRNA from 1 species
UACGGGGGGGCAAGCGUUGUUCGGAAUUACUGGGCGUAAAGGGCUCGUAGGCGGCCAACUAAGUCAGACGUGAAAUCCCUCGGCUUAACCGGGGAACUGCGUCUGAUACUGGAUGGCUUGAGGUUGGGAGAGGGAUGCGGAAUUCCAGGUGUAGCGGUGAAAUGCGUAGAUAUCUGGAGGAACACCGGUGGCGAAGGCGGCAUCCUGGACCAAUUCUGACGCUGAGGAGCGAAAGCCAGGG